AAGUCGUAACAAGGUUUCCGUAGGUGAACCUGCGGAAGGAUCAUUAGAGGGGGCCGUCGGGGGCCUAAAACCUGCGCGACGCGAGUCGUGAAACCCAACCAACCGAGAACUUGAGCCCGCGGAUGCCGCCGCGACCCGGGCCAGAACCACCCGCGGAUGCCGCCGCGACCCGGGUGCUACACAAUUGUCGUAAUAAAGUCCCGAAAGUUAACAAAGAGUACAACUCUCAACGAUGGAUCUCUUGGCUCUCGCAUCGAUGAAGAACGCAGCGAAUCGCGAUAUGUAAUGUGAAUUGCAGAAUUCAGUGAAUCAUCGAAUCUUUGAACGCACCUUGCACCCUCUGGUAUUCCGGAGGGUAUGCCUGUCUGAGUGUCACGUCAAUCUUCGUCCCUCUGGGUUCUGCCCGGGGGGGUCGGAUCUGGGUGUUGCCCUUUGUGGGCUCGCCUUAAAUGCAUCGGCGGAUUAGUAGUCAGUAGGAUGUCGGGACUGUCUUCACAGAGUGGUCACGGUUUCGACAGAUGAAAAUCUCCCUUGAACCCAAUUGGCCUUCGGGUCAAACUUGUGAUAGACCUCAGAUCAGGUAGGAUUACCCGCUGAACUUAA
rnacentral:rRNA from 1 species